CUAGCCUCUCUCUCCUAGUAUAGUGGUUGCUAGCAUCUCUCUCCUAGUAUAGUGGUUGCUAGCAUCUCUCUCCUAGUAUAGUGGUUGCUAGCCUCUCUCUCCUAGUAUAGUGGUUGCUAGCAUCUCUCUCCUAGUAUAGUGGUGGCUAGCCUCUCUCUCCUAGUAUAGUGGUGGCUAGCCUCUCUCUCCUAGUAUAGUGGUG